rnacentral:lncRNA from 1 species
UGGUCAUCAGCAACAAAGGUCCUGAAGAGAGAUCAGUCUCCAAAGAGAAUGAAAGCGGGGCUUUGUGAAGCCAUGAAUACAAGAUGCAGUGACCUGUGAAUAAGCACAGUCAACUAGUACUAAAAGAAAAUCAGAUUGGAGGCUCUAUUGCAGACCAAGCCAGAGCUAAAAAGAUGACAGUCACCUUUAGGAUAUAGCAAGCAAAGUGUGACUUAAAGCCUGACUACCUUUAAGGAGAGAAGGUCACAAUGCCAGGAUGGAUCAUGACUAAGAGGAGAGCAAUAUUCAAAGGGAGCAAAUAUCUUCUCCAGAAUUUUGGACUUUAUGUUGUGCUCCACCAGGCUGCCAGGGCUGAAAUGACUGGUUGUAGGUUCUGGAGCUUCAGACACACGGGGAUGCUCCCUCAUCUCUAUGCUGGGUACCGCAGGCUUGGCUGCAAAUGCUGCUGGGAUCCACCUGGUCCUACUUAUCAACACUCGACAAAUUCUGCUACUCACAGGCUCCAUGAAGAAAGUAAAAAUGUAAUUUUUAAAAAAAAUGUAAUUGUUGAUGACUCAGGCCCCACUGAGGAACAAACGGAACAGAGCUUCCCUAACAGCAAAUUUAAGCAAAAUACAUGCAUACCUACAUAUAUUCAUUGUCAGUAAUAUAGAAUUCGGGGUUACUUCCCUCUAGCAUUCUUUCUCAUUUUUCCUCACUAGAAAAUGGUGAUUCAUUUAGCUAUGUGUGGCUAAGAAAAAUGCAUCUACCACAUUUAGCUAUGUGUAGCUAAGAAUCAUACACCAGCUAUAGUCUUAC